GAUGAACGCUGGCGGCGUGCCUAAUACAUGCAAGUCGAACGCCGAAGGAGGAACUUGCUCUUCUGGAUGAGUUGCGAACGGGUGAGUAACGCGUAGGUAACCUGCCUGGUAGCGGGGGAUAACUAUUGGAAACGAUAGCUAAUACCGCAUGACAACAGACAUAGCAUGAUAACCGUUUAAAAGUGGCACCUGCUCCACUACCAGAUGCACCUGCGUUGUAUUAGCUAGUUGGUGAGGUAACGGCUCACCCAGGGGACGGUACAGAGGCGGCCCGGGAGGGUGGUCGGCCACAAUGGGACUGGAGCAACGCCCAGAAUCCUUACGGAGGGAGCAGGAGGGGAACUUUGGCAAUGGACGGAAGGCCGAACGAGGAAAGACGCGUGAGGGAAGGAAGGUUUCGGAUCGUAAAGCUCUGUUGUUAGAGAAAGAAGAGUGUGAGAGUGAAAAGUUCACACUGUGACGGUACCUAACCAGAAAGGGACGGCUAACUACGUG
rnacentral:rRNA from 1 species